rnacentral:snRNA from 1 species
GUCCUUGCUUCGGCAGCACAUAUACUAAAAUUGGAAUGAUACAGAACAGAUUAGCAUGGCCCCUGCGCAAGGAUGACACGCAAAUUUGUGAAGCGUUCCAUAUUUUU